rnacentral:rRNA from 1 species
CCUACGUGCGGCAGCAGUGGGGAAUAUUGCACAAUGGGGGAAACCCUGAUGCAGCGACGCCGCGUGAGUGAAGAAGUAUUUCGGUAUGUAAAGCUCUAUCAGCAGGGAAGAAAAAAGACGGUACCUGCCAAAGAAGCCCCGGCUAACUACGUGCCAGCAGCCGCGGUAAUACGUAGGGGGCAAGCGUUAUCCGGAUUGACGGGGUGUAAAGGGAGCGUAGACGGAGAAGCAAGUCUGAAGUGAAAGACCGUGGCGUAACCACGGGACUGCUUUGGAAACUGUUUGCGUAGAGUGCUGGAGAGGUAAGUGGAAUUCCUAGUGUAGCGGUGAAAUGCGGAGAUAUUAGGAGGAACACCAGUGGCGAAGGCGGCUUACUGGACAGUAACUGACGUUGAGGCUCGAAAGCGUGGGGAGCAAACAGGAUUAGAUACCCCAGUAGUC